UUCGUGCGGCUGAAUCUCAGC
rnacentral:misc_RNA from 1 species